UUUUUAAUCAUACCAGUAGUCUAAUUUUUAGAUUACUGACAGUCCUAAGUCUGUAAAAAAUGAGAAGGGAAA
rnacentral:ribozyme from 2 species